GACGAACGCUGGCGGCGUGCUUAACACAUGCAAGUCGAGCGGAAAGGCCACUUCGGUGGUACUCGAGCGGCGAACGGGUGAGUAACACGUGAGUAAUCUGCCCUUGGCUUUGGGACAGCCACCGGAAACGGUGAUUAAUACCGGAUAUGACCACUCUAGGCAUCUAGUGGUGGUGGAAAGUUUUUCGGCCAGGGAUGUGCUCGCGGCCUAUCAGCUUGAUGGUGAGGUAAUGGCUCACCAUGGCUUCGACGGGUAGCCGGCCUGAGAGGGUGUCCGGUCACACUGGGACUGGGACACGGCCCAGACUCCUACGGGAGGCAGCAGUGGGGAAUAUUGGACAAUGGGCGGAAGCCUGAUCCAGCAACGCCGCGUGAGGGAUGACGGCCUUCGGGUUGUAAACCUCUUUCAGCAGGGACGAAGCGCGAGUGACGGUACCUGCAGAAGAAGCACCGGCCAACUACGUGCCAGCCGCCGCAGUAA
rnacentral:rRNA from 1 species